rnacentral:rRNA from 1 species
UGCUUGUCUCAAAGAUUAAGCCAUGCAUGUCUAAGUAUAAGCAAUUAUACAGCGAAACUGCGAAUGGCUCAUUAUAUAAGUUAUCGUUUAUUUGAUAGUGCCUUACUACUUGGAUAACCGUGGUAAUUCUAGAGCUAAUACAUGCUGAAAAUCCCGACUUCGGAAGGGAUGUGUUUAUUAGAUUAAAAACCAAUGCCCUCUGGGCUCCUUGGUGAUUCAUGAUAACUGUUCGAAUCGCAUGGCCUUGCGCCGGCGAUGGUUCAUUCAAAUUUCUUCCCUAUCAACUUUCGAUGUUUGGGUAUUGGCCAAACAUGGUCGCAACGGGUAACGGAGGGUUAGGGCUCGACCCCGGAGAAGGAGCCUGAGAAACGGCUACUACAUCCAAGGAAGGCAGCAGGCGCGCAAAUUACCCAAUCCCGAUCCGGGGAGGUAGUGACAAUAAAUACUGAUACAGGGCUCUUUUGGGUCUUGUAAUUGGAAUGAGUACAAUUUAAAUCCCUUAACGAGGAACAAUUGGAGGGCAAGUCUGGUGCCAGCAGCCGCGGUAAUUCCAGCUCCAAUAGCGUAUAUUAAAGUUGUUGUGGUUAAAAAGCUCGUAGUUGAACCUUGGGCCUGGCUGGCCGGUCCGCCUCACCGCGUGCACUGGUCCGGCCGGGCCUUUCCCUCUGCGGAACCCCAUGCCCUUCACUGGGCGUGGCGGGGAAGCAGGACUUUUACUUUGAAAAAAUUAGAGUGCUUCAGGCAGGCCUAUGCUCGAAUACAUUAGCAUGGAAUAAUGAAAUAGGACGCGCGGUUCUAUUUUGUUGGUUUCUGGGACCGCCGUAAUGGUUAAUAGGGACAGUCGGGGGCAUCAGUAUUCAAUCGUUAGAGGUGAAAUUCUUGGAUCGAUUGAAGACUAACUACUGCGAAAGCAUUUGCCAAGGAUGUUUUCAUUAAUCAGGAACGAAAGUUAGGGGAUCGAAGACGAUCAGAUACCGUCGUAGUCUUAACCAUAAACUAUGCCGACUAGGGAUCGGACGACGUUAAUUCUUGACGCGUUCGGCACCUUACGAGAAAUCAAAGUGCUUGGGCUCCAGGGGGAG